GGGGGUGUAGCUCAGUUGGUAGAGCGCCAGCUUUGCAAGCUGGAUGUCGUCGGUUCGAACCCGGUCAUCUCCACCA
rnacentral:tRNA from 1 species